UACGUAGGGGGCAAGCGUUGUCCGGAGUUACUGGGCGUAAAGCGCACGCAGGCGGUCUCUUAAGUUUGGAGUGACAGUUGGUGGCUUAACUGCCAAAGUGCUUCGAAAACUGAGAGACUUGAGGGCUUCAGAGGGACACGGAAUUCCGGGUGGAGUGGUGAAAUGCGUAGAGAUCCGGAAGAACACCAAAGGCGAAGGCAGUGUCCUGGGGAGUACCUGACGCUCAGGUGCGAAAGCCAGGGGAGCGAACGGG
rnacentral:rRNA from 1 species